CCAGGCAGGGACGUCUGAGAUCCAGGCGGGGCAGGACCACUGAGAUCCAGGUGGGGCAGGACCACUGAGAUCCAGGCGGGGCAGGGCCAUGCUCCCUCCCAAGGCUCCAGAGGAGGGUC